rnacentral:rRNA from 1 species
AUACGGAGGAUGCGAGCGUUAUCCGGAUUUAUUGGGUUUAAAGGGUGCGCAGGCGGAAUAGUAAGUCAGUGGUGAAAACCUGCAGCUUAACUGUAGAAUUGCCGUUGAUACUGUUAUUCUUGAGUAUGGUCAAGGUAGGCGGAAUGUGUAAUGUAGCGGUGAAAUGCUUAGAUAUUACACAGAACACCGAUUGCGAAGGCAGCUUGCUGGGUCAUUACUGACGCUCAUGCACGAAAGCGUGGGGAUCGAACAGGAUUAGAUACCCUGGUAGUCCACGCCGUAAACGAUGAUCACUAGCUGUUGGCGAUACACAGUCAGCGGCAAAGCAAAAGCAUUAAGUGAUCCACCUGGGGAGUACGGCCGCAAGGCUGAA